rnacentral:lncRNA from 1 species
GCAACAUCCUACGUCCGCGCCACGGGCGUCAUCUUUAUAUUACAGAGAAGGUAAACACUGUUGAGAUUAAUUAGAAUUAAUUAAUAAGUGAUCAAUCUGUAGUUAAUCCCGUCAUUAGCAACUGCUAAUGACGGUUGUACUGUAGACGUAGGAAGACACCUUUUGGGGUUCACGAGACACCCCUUGGCCAAAGGGCAUCUGUCCCUUCGGUUUGUAUAUAUUCAGAACAUAGUUCAUCAGACAAUACACAACAGUCAUUCUGCACUGUUCUCGUUUCUCUAAACACGUUAUCACGCACGCGCUCUGCCAACAACUGCUAACAGGCAGAGAGGGAAGGAGUUCACCGGAGCACUCGCUGAGAGUUCGCCGGAGUUGCUGUUCAUCCAAGGUAGAAGAUGACGACCCCUGUUCCUUCCAUGAACGCUAAGGUUGACGCCAUCACCGACGCCGUCGAGGCCGCCAUUGCCCGCGGCAACAACCAUCCUGGAGGAGUUCGUCGGUUCAUCCUCCAGGGCGCCAUCCGCGGUGCUCUUCGCGACAUCUCCGACCGCCGCAUCGCCCCUCGCCGUCUCUACGGCGCUGGACCGAACGCCGGCGGCCGCCCGACAACUUCGCGCCCCGUGCCUCGUUUGUCGAGGCUCGAGUUCGCCACUGGAGUCUGCCCCCGUCAUGGCCCGACGACGUUCACUCGUCGUGUCGGGGCAGCGCCGUCACCAUCGCUGAUGCCGCUCACCGACCCUCUCCCAUCACCAACUCCACCGGUGCUGCCAUGGAACGGAGGUGGUGGCACCAUGGCUGGACGCCGUGGCGUCCCUCCGUUCUUCGACAACCGCGAUGGCCCGACAGCGGCGGCGUGUCCACCCGGCUUCGCCUACGACAUCGGCGUCGUCUUCCCCCAGCCGCUGCUAUCUCCGAUCCGGACUCCGCCUCGCACGCCCUCCUACGCCGACGUCGCCGCAAACCGCAUCGACGGCCUGCGCCGGAGCACGAACGGAGCGGGCGUCACCUCUUCCUCGGUUGAGGGAGAGGCGGCCGGUCGCCGCUGAAGCCCCUGCGGGGGAGCCGGUGGGGGCGCCACCACCGAUCCCGGCACACUGCGACGACCCCCAGGGCCGGAGCACGCUGGGGACGGGUGGGGCGCGCCUCGCCGGCCGAUCUCCAUGGUCGGGGAGAGGGCAUGGGCCCUAAACCGCCAUUGGAGGAGCACCGGAGGAGGAGAAGGCGGCACAAGGGGGUGGGUCCUACCGGCGACGGCAUCCGGGCAAUUUGGCGCGGUGGCGGCGUCAGGCGCGGUGGCGGCGGUGGUGUGCGACGGCGACGGCAGGGCACCAGGCGGCGGCGGCGGCGGGCCGGGGCAGGCGGACGGUUAGGGUUUCCAAACCCUAACCGCUCCCCUCCCUCUUAUAUGCGGCCGCAAUGGGCCGGUUGGCCGGCUGGGCCGCGCUCAGGCUGGCUGGGCCGCGCCUGGCCUUUCGGCUGGGCCACGCGCGUGGCCGGCUGGCGGGGCCGCUGGCCUAGCUGGCCGCCGGGGGUCCUUUUUCUUUUUCUUUUUCUUUUAUUUUUCUUUCAGCAGUACUAUUAAGUUAAUUAGCAUAUGAUUUACUAGUUUAUUGAUUGCAAGAACAUCGUUAUUUGUAUGAUUGUUGUUGCUCAGUACCUGCUGUACCCUGUGAUUGUAAAUAAAUUAUGGUUUGUUUAUAUUGUUAUACAAUCCAAGGCUUAUUUCUAUUAUAUUUUUGAUAUAUGUUGUGCACACAAACCCUUUUGCACCACAUAUAUAUUCUACAUUUGUGACUUUGAUAAUUAUUUUGGUGAUCUGUUAGUGCACCCAAACCCUCCAGUUUUGCACUAACAUAAAGUUACACUUGGAAUUUUAUAAUAGAAAUAGGGUAUGUUGGUGCCCCAAACCACAAAUUUUGCACCACAUACAAGUUAAAUUUGCUAGUAGACUUAGUUGCAAUUUAACUACACCAUCUAUAGAAUUAAAUAAUUUUAAUUACUAUAGGAUUAAAUUUGCAAUAUAAAUAUCUUGAUUAUUUUGGUUAAAUAUACACAAGGUAAUAGAGACUAUGGCAAAGGCUGCGCUUAAUUCUUCAUGAAUUAUUCUGUCUAGAGACCGUGCCAUAGCAGUGAUCAAAUCACCUAUUACUGAGAGGUCUACAUCUUAUUUCUAUGAAAUUUGAUGAUUACCUACACUAUAUUAUUAACUAAAAUAAAGGUUUUUGGAUUGAUUUUUUCAUCAUAUAAUUUCGAUAUUACACAAAAUAGUAGAGACCUAAGCAAAGGCUGCAUUUAAUUCCCUUGUGAAUUAUCUUGCCCAGAGACCGUGCUUAGGUAGCAAUCUACUUGCCUACUAUAAAGAUCUACUCUUUGUCACUGACAUAGAGAUUAUCUGUCUUGUGAUUAUCAAAAUUUUAUGAAGAUCUGGUUGUAUGGUCUACACCUACAACAAUCAAAAACUAUGAUAAAAUAUAAAAUCAUAAAAAUAUAUUGCAUUCAGAAUUACAACUCUACCAUGUUGUUUUUAAUUUACCAGAUGGUAAAUUAAUCAAACCAUGGUCGCUCAUGUAGAACCAUGACUACUACUGUGGAGUUUGAGAAACUCUCUUUACAUGGAGAAAAUUACCCUACAUGGGCUUCUGAUAUCAAGAUUGCACUUGCAUCUCGUAGUCUUUUGGCUACGAUACAGGAACCCCAGAAUGGGGUUGUCCUGCAAGAAAAGCAAACUUAUCAAGCUUUGGCUUUAUUACGGUUUUAUAUUCAUAAGGAUUUAAAAUCAGAAUACCUUAUGAUUGAGAGUCCCAAAGAAUUAUGGGACGCUCUUAAAGAGCGAUACGAACAGCAAAAGGAACUCAUUUGGCCUGAGACCAAUCAUGAAUGGAAUCACUUACGUCUCCAAGAUUUCAAAUCUGUGGCAGAUUAUAACCAUGUUGUUCAUAAAAUUUGCUCUAAGUUGAAGUUUUGCGAAAAAGAGCCAUCAGAUAAAGACAAGAUAGAGAAAACACUCUCUACCAUGCUACCAUCUGAUUGAGUAUUGCAACAGCAAUACAGGGCUCAUAAUUACCAAGCAUAUUCUCAGCUUAUCCAUACAUUAACUCUGGCAGAAAAACAUGAUGAACUCCUUUUAAAGAAUCAUCAUAAGCGCCCUGUUGGUUCGGCGCCUUUACCUGAGGUUCACAAUGUACAGGAAAAGCCUAAGAAUAAGUUCAAAGGAAAGUUUCCAAAGAACAAAUUUGGUAAAUGCAAAUUCAACAAAAAGCAAAGGUUUAAUCAUAAUAAGAAGAACAAGGACAAUGCAAAAGCUCCCAAAAAUGACAACAAGUGUCAUAGAUGUGGAGAUUUUUCGCAUUUUGCCAAGAAUUGCCGUACUCCAAAGCAUUUAGUUGCUUUGUACCAAAAGUCCUUAAAAGAGGCUAAGCCUGUAGGAGAUAAGAAAUAUGAAGCACACUUCAAUCUUGCAACUGAGGCUAACAAGGAAGCGGGUUGUUCCAAGAUAGCCCCUAAGGAACAAACCCGUAGUAAAUCUCUCAAUAUUGAAGAGAAAAUGCCAUCGACAGACAACAUGCUCAUAGAUUUUGAAUCUGGAGACAUGUUUGGAGAUUUAGAAUAAUCUCAUAGUCUGGAACUUGAUAUCAUAAUAGAUAUAUAUAUAUAUAUAUCCCUAUAUAUAUAGUGUUGUAAUUAGUCUAAGUCAUAUCUUAUAUUUCGUGUGCUUGUAUAUUGUACAUACUUGUUUUGUUAGAUCAAGUUUGUAUCAAGUUGUUCAUAUUAUAUUAUAUCAUACUUGAUAUUUAAUAUAUAUAUAUAUAUUAUAUACUUGUAUGAUUCAUUUAUAGUAUUUAUUUUCUUUACUAUACAUAUAGAUGUAUGUUGAACUUAAUCCAUUGGAGGAAGAAUUAUGUAUUGUGGACUCAGGGGCCACAAACUCUAUACUUAGAGAAAUUAAAUAUUUCCAAACUCUUAAGAAAAGAGAAGGGAACAUCUUGACUAUUGCUGGUCAUGAUGCGUUAAUAGUUGGUUCUGGACGGGCCACUAUUACUCUCCCAAUGGGUACACAGAUUACGAUAGAGGAUGCAUUGUUGUAUCCCGAAUCAACUCGUACCCUUCUAAGUUUUAGAGACAUCCGUAAGAAUGGUUUUCAUGUGGAAACACAUGAAGAUAGUAAAGAGGAAUAUCUUCUCUUUACCAAACUUACGGCAUUUGGCAAACGAAUUUGCGAAAAGAUUUCUUCACUCCAACAUGUAUUGUAUUUCACAUACAUAAAACCUGUAGAACAUAUUGUCUACAAAAUAAUUUUCUGAGAUGUCGAUACAUUCCGGAACUGGCAUGAUCGACUUGGGCAUCCUGGAAUUGGGAUGAUGAGAAAAUUUAUUAGCAAUUCUACUGGUCAUGACAUGGAAAAAGCAAGAUUUCCCCAAAAUAAAGAUUUUUGCUGCACUGCUUGUGCUACGGGGAAAUUAAUUUUAAGACCAUCACAUCUUAAAAUACGAGCUGAACCACUUAAAUUCCUUGAACGAAUUCAAGGAGAUAUUUGUGGUCCGAUUCAACCAUUAUCGGGGCCGUUCAGGUACUUCAUGGUUUUAAUAGACGCAUCCACUAGAUGGUCUUACGUGUGUCUUUUAUCGACACGCAACCAUGCCUUUGCUAAAAUAAUGGCUCAACUUAUUAAGUUAAAAGCUCAUUAUCCUGAACAUCAGAUUCAAUCAAUCCGAAUGGACAAUGCUGCUGAAUUCUCAUCCCGUGCUUUCAAUGAUUAUUGCAUGGCAUUGGGAAUUCACGUUCAGCACUCUGUACCUUAUGUCCAUACUCAAAAUGGUUUGGCUGAAUCGUUGCUUAAAAGAAUCAAGCUCAUUGCACGACCAUUGUUAAUAAAUUGCAAAUUGCCUAUGUCAUGUUGGGGUUAUGCAGUUCUGCACGCUGCCGACCUAAUCCAACUACGACCAACUGCAUAUCACGAAACUUCCCCAAUGCAGUUAGUACAUGGAAAUCCUCUGAGUAUUUUCCAUUUGCGUAAGUUUGGGUGCGCAGUAUACGUACCCAUCUCACCACCUCAACGAACAUCAAUGGGCCCACACAGAAAAUAGGGUAUCUAUAUUGGAUACUCAUCUCCGUCAAUUAUUAAAUACUUAGAACCUCUUACAGGAGAUCUAUUUACUGCCCGGUUCGCUGAUAUUAUUUUUAAUGAGGAUCAUUUCCCGGCAUUAGGGGGAUAAUUGUACAUAAGGAAUGCCAGGAAAUUAAUUGGAAUGCUGAGGGCAUUUCAUCUUCUGAUCCACGUACUACAGAAACUGAACUACAAGUUCAAAGGAUAAUUGAUUUGCAAAAUAUUGCAAACAAUUUGCCAGGUGCUUUCUCUAAUUAUAGAGGUGUCACGAAGUCUCUUCAUCUUGCUAGGAAUGUGCCUGAACGAGUGGAGGUACCUAAUAAAACCACUCACCCCCAAUUUAGUAGAAAGAGGGGGAGAAGCACUUCCAAUAGGCAAGAUGUGAUUGCUGGCCAGCAAAAGAAGACUGAAAAUGCAACUCAACCUUCGGUUGAAAAACACCUAGAGGACAUGCAAUGUCCUAUGGAUAUAUGUGAUCCACAAUCCAGCUCAGUCAUGCGCAUAAACACUGAGGCUGGAAUAUCGGAAGACCCUAGAUCCAUCGUUUCGGGAGAUCAUGAUGAAUCUUUAAGGGUACACGAAAUUACGAUAAAUUUCGUAGAGACUGUAGAGUCUUAUAAUCAUAAGUCCACAAUAGUCGACAUUUACUUCUCUGAACAAAUUGCAAACAUUCUUCUCACUAAUGAAGAUCCCAAGUCUAUGACUGAGUGCAAGAAGCGCUUGGACUGGGAUAAGUGGAAGAUAACAAUUGAAACAGAGAUUACCUCGCUUUAUAAAAGGAAGGUAUUUUCAGCUGUAAUGCCAACACCUCCUGGUAUCUUCCCUGUAGGAUAUAUAUGGGUUUUCGUCCGUAAAAGGAAUGAAAACAACAAAGUGGUGAGAUAUAAAGCAAGGCUGGUGGCACACGGUUUUACGCAAAGACCUGGCGUUGAUUUUAACGAAACUUACUCUCCAUUAAUGAGCAUUCCGAUACUUAAUAGCAUUGGCAGUUCAAAAUCGUCUAUCUAUGCAGUUGAUAGACGUAGUGACCGUAUAUUUAUAUGGGUCAUUGGAUUCUGAGGUAUACAUGAAAGUUCCUAAUGGAAUCAGUAUACCAGAUCCUAAGGCAAAUCGCAACAUGUAUUGCGUCAAGUUGCAGAAGUCAUUAUAUGGCUUAAAACAAUCAAGCCGAAUGUGGUACAAUCGGUUAAGUCAAUUCCUUACUCAGAAGGGAUAUAAAUAAUGAUGACUGUCCUUGUGCUUUCAUUAAGAAAUCGUCAACAUGAUUUUCUAUCAUAUCGGUAUAUGUCGAUGAUCUCAACAUCAUUGGCAACAAAACCGAUAUUAAUGAAGCACGUCAUCAUUUGACGACGGAGUUUGAAAUGAAAGAUUUGGGUCAAACCAAAUUCUGCUUAGGUUUACAACUUGAGCACUUUCAUUCAGGUAUAUUUAUAUACCAGGCUGCCUAUGUCCAAAAGAUAUUGGAGAAAUUCAAUAUGGACAAGUCAUAUCCAACAAAACCCCUAUGGUAGUGAGGUCCUUAGACAUUGAGAAGGACCCUUUUAGACCAAAGGGAGAAGAUAAAAGGAUAUUGGGACCGCAGGUCCCAUAUCUGAGUACCAUUGGAGCACUUAUGUAUCUUGCUAACAACAUCCGGCCGGAUAUUGCAUCUGCAAUAAAUUUGCUGGCAAGACAUAAUGCUAGACCUACCAAACAUCAUUAGGUAGGAAUCAAAACGGUUUUGAGAUAUCUGAACGGCACUAGAGAUCUUGGAUUAUUCUAUAACAGAAAUCAAGAUCCAGUUUUGUUAGGAUAUACAGAUGCUGGUUAUUUAUCAGAUCCCCACAACGGCAGAUAACAAACAAGCUUUGUUUUCUUGCAAGAUGGAACAACAACAUCUUGGGAGUUUUUUCAAAGCAGACUCUAAUAUCUACUUCCACCAAUCAUUCUGAGAUAAUAGCUUCGCAGAAUGAUAAACCACAUAAUUCAAUCUUGUGGUAUUGGUGCAGUUGAUACACUGAUAAUUAUCUUUGAAGAUAAUUCGGUAUGUGUUACCCAAAUGGAGUCAGGUUAUAUUAAGAGUAAUAUGACUAAGCAUAUUAUACCUAAGUUAUUCUACCCCCAUGAACUCCAAAAGAAUGGAGAAAUAUAAAUCUUGCAAACCAAGUCUUGUGAUAAUCUCGCGGAUUUAUUCACAAAGUCUCUACCAUACUCUGCAUUUUGCAAAUGCGUUGAGGGCAUAGGUAUGAGAAGCUUUAAAGGAUUUGCAAGCACUAGGGGGAGAAUCUCUCUAGGAUACAUAACCUACUCCAUCACUAUAUUAUACUCUUUUUCCUUUAUAUGAGUUUUGCUCUAUUAGAGUUUUCUCACAUAAAGUUUUUAAUGAGGUAAUAGUAACACAUGGUGGUUGUCAUAUUAUCCAUUUUUCCUUACUAAGGUUUUUUCAAGGAUAAUAUAUGACAUAUUGAUCUCUGAUCAAAUUGUUUUAGACUAAGUCUUUAGGGUCACCUAAAGGGUCUAUUAACAUUGGAUUCAUAUAUAUCAUGGUGUUUUCUCCUUAUUUCUCCCACUGGGUUUUUAAGGAGUUUUGCCUGGUAUAUCGAUAUACUUUGGUUUUUCCCACAGAGUUUUCCAAAGAUUCUAGAUAGUGACUGAUGAACAAACAAAGACGUCUACAAGGACCAAUUGAUCAAGGGGGAGUGUUGAGAUUAAUUAGAAUUAAUUAAUAAGUGAUCAAUCUGUAGUUAAUCCCGUCAUUAGCAACUGCUAAUGACGGUUGUACUGUAGACUUAGGAAGACACCUUUUGGGGUUCACGAGACACCCCUUGGCCAAAGGGCAUCUGUCCCUUCGGUUUGUAUAUAUUCAGAACAUAGUUCAUC